rnacentral:lncRNA from 1 species
UCCUUAUUCAUGUGUUACAAUCUCAAAUCGUUUCCUCUAUGAGCUUCCACCAGGGCUUCACCCACCAUGUUAUUCAGGUUCCGGGUCCAGGUUUGUCAUUGCCAUUGACACUAGCAAACCAGUGGUUGUCAUCAACCUUGGCUGAUGAAACCUCAACCUUGGUUGUCAUCAACGACAUCAAUAUCCACAGUAUCUAAAUCCAUGUCUCCUUUAGGCAUACACAAGGCAUGCGCUUCCAGGCUCCACCCAUCCCAGCAUCGCAAGUACUGAGUACUACUUAAACCAUGAGUGCUUCUCCUUUUCCUUUUCCAUAAGGACCCUGGUAAGCUCUUCCCAAGCCGCCGAGGGCUGCAAAUCCUUCCGUGCCCUCACCUCAUCCAUCACCUCCUCACUCACAACAGGAAUCAGGUCAUCUGGGGGCAACCCCACCAGGUCAUUCAAGACAAACUUAGGGUUCAGCUCGGCAGCUGUGCUGUUGCCAGUCGCAACCCUGCAUGACUUCCCACCCUUCCCACUGGCACUGGGUGCCUGUGCCCCCUUGCCCUUUGGGGGCACAUGGACAAUGCAAACCCGCUGCAGCACUGUCUCCAGCGGUAUGCAGCCGAAU